rnacentral:rRNA from 1 species
GAUGAACGCUGGCGGCGUGCCUAAUACAUGCAAGUCGAGCGACCAGACGGUGAGCUUUUUCCUCUGCGGUUAGCGGCGGACGGAGGAGUAACACGUGGAUAGCCUACUUCUCAUACUGGGAUAACUACGGGAAGCCAGAGCUGCUAAUACCGAAUAUAUUGUACCGCUUGGAUCAAUAGUGCAUGACAGUUUUGGUGUCUCUAUUAGAUGGUUUCGCGCCGCAUUAGCUAGUUGGUAAGGUAACGGCUUACCAAGGCGACGAUGCGUAGCCGACCUGAGAGGGGGAUCGGCCACACUGGAACUGAGACACGGUCCAGACUCCUACGGGAGGCAGCAGUAGGGAAUCUUCGACAAUGGGCGAAAGCCUGACGGAGCAACGCCGCGUGGGGGAUGAAGGUCUUCGGAUCGUAAAGCUCUUUUAUUAGGAAAGAAAAAAUGUUGAAGUAACUAUGGAUGUCUUGACGGUACCUAAACAAAAAGCCACGGCUAACUACGUG